GCGUUGUGACCCUUGUUGUUGAUUGUUAGGCACUUUUGGUUGUUGGACUGCUGGAGAGUUUGGUUUUAGUUUCUCGAAGGUUCCAAGUCAUCGUCCUUUGGGUUCUAAAAUCUGCUAAGAGGAAAUUUUGAGUCGAAAUCUCACGAGUGUUGGUUGAUCAAGUUUCGUUGGGGGACUUAGUUCAGGGGUUUUUGGUUGGAGAUCAUUAGCUUGGAUUAAAAAUCGAAAUUUGAUUUCGAGGUAAGGGUAGAGAUGCACCGGCGAUGGCGCAGCGGAAUUCAUGAUCGAGCCACUGGGACUA